rnacentral:rRNA from 1 species
UACGUAGGGCGCAAGCGUUGUCCGGAAUUAUUGGGCGUAAAGAGCUCGUAGGCGGUUUGUCGCGUCUGCCGUGAAAACCCGAGGCUUAACCUCGUGGCUUGCGGUGGAUACGGGCAGACUAGAGGUAGGUAGGGGAGAAUGGAAUUCCCGGUGUAGCGGUGAAAUGCGCAGAUAUCGGGAGGAACACCGGUGGCGAAGGCGGCGAUCUGGCCCAACAUUGACACUGAGACCCGAAAGCAUGGGGAUCAAACAGG